UGCUCAGGUGGUAGGACAUUUCCUCUUGU
rnacentral:piRNA from 1 species